rnacentral:rRNA from 1 species
CGCACGGGUGAGUAACACGUAUCCAACCUGCCGAUAACUCCGGGAUAGCCUUUCGAAAGAAAGAUUAAUACCGGAUAGCAUACGAAUAUCGCAUGAUAUUUUUAUUAAAGAAUUUCGGUUAUCGAUGGGGAUGCGUUCCAUUAGUUUGUUGGCGGGGUAACGGCCCACCAAGACAACGAUGGAUAGGGGUUCUGAGAGGAAGGUCCCCCACAUUGGAACUGAGACACGGUCCAAACUCCUACGGGAGGCAGCAGUGAGGAAUAUUGGUCAAUGGGCGAGAGCCUGAACCAGCCAAGUAGCGUGAAGGAUGAAGGCUCUAUGGGUCGUAAACUUCUUUUAUAUGGGAAUAAAGUAUUCCACGUGUGGAAUUUUGUAUGUACCAUAUGAAUAAGGAUCGGCUAACUCCGUGCCAGCAGCCGCGGUAAUACGGAGGAUCCGAGCGUUAUCCGGAUUUAUUGGGUUUAAAGGGAGCGUAGGUGGAUUGUUAAGUCAGUUGUGAAAGUUUGCGGCUCAACCGUAAAAUUGCAGUUGAAACUGGCAGUCUUGAGUACAGUAGAGGUGGGCGGAAUUCGUGGUGUAGCGGUGAAAUGCUUAGAUAUCACGAAGAACUCCGAUUGCGAAGGCAGCUCACUAGACUGUCACUGACACUGAUGCUCGAAAGUGUGGGUAUCAAAC